rnacentral:rRNA from 1 species
CCUACGGGUGGCAGCAGUGAGGAAUAUUGGUCAAUGGACGCAAGUCUGAACCAGCCAUGCCGCGUGCAGGAAGACGGCUCUAUGAGUUGUAAACUGCUUUUGUACGAGGGUAAACGCAGAUACGCGUAUCUGUCUGCAAGUAUCGUACGAAUAAGGAUCGGCUAACUCCGUGCCAGCAGCCGCGGUAAUACGGAGGAUUCAAGCGUUAUCCGGAUUUAUUGGGUUUAAAGGGUGCGUAGGCGGUCGGCUAAGUUAGAGGUGAAAUCCCGGGGCUCAACUUCGGAAUUGCCUCUGAUACUGUUCGGCUAGAGCGUAGUUGCGGUAGGCGGAAUGUAUGGUGUAGCGGUGAAAUGCUUAGAGAUCAUACAGAACACCGAUUGCGAAGGCAGCUUACCAAGCUACUUCUGACGUUGAGGCACGAAAGCGUGGGGAGCAAACAGGAUUAGAUACCCUAGUAGUC